ensembl:lncRNA LINC01491 long intergenic non-protein coding RNA 1491
AGGCCUGUGACCACAGAAAAAGUAGCCAGCCCACCAUCCCUAGAUGAUUUUGCAGUCUUUGCACACCAGUGUGGCCAUAGGCUUGUUUUCUCCUGGACUGAGCCUGCAGAUCCUAUGAGCAAGCAUAUGUCCUGUGCUCCACUAGUCCUAGCUGGAUCGUGGACAUAUUACCAUCAUUACAAAUAUCAAUAGUUUGUGAUUACUUCAAACAAUCUGAAGUUGAAGGACCCCAGAUAUCCUUCAAAACAGGAAUCUGCAGGCAGAUGCUGAAACCAUGAAUACAGAGGGACAACUAUACGCUGACAUAGUUUUAUGAAUGCAAACAGCCAAGGAGAGCAGAUGUUGAGUGGUUGCCAGAGUGAAAUGAGGAAGCCCUGCUGCCAGCUUCCCACCAAAAAGCAGGCUCCGGCCCUGAACGCAGGAGAGUUGCUAAAGAAGUUGCUCACAGAGGCGGGAGAGAGCAGGCUACUGGUUUCCUUCAAAAUGGAAUAGGAAACAGAAAACGUGCAUCAUUUCUUCGCACUUGAAUCAGCAACAUGACACAGGACUUUGGCAUCAGACUACUAUCACACCAAAAAAAGAGGCUUCACUUGGAGUGCUGCCACUGGAUGGGGCCUGACUUGUUUAUCCGGAAAGAAGUGACUUCCCUGGGAAGAAGGUUGCAUUUGUGAAAGCUUGUGCAGCAUUUCAAGGCUGCAUUCAGGUAUCAGAAAACUGAAGCCCCUACUCAAAAACCUUACUAGUCAAGCCCAUGCCUAUGUGUGCACUUAUACAAUCAUUCUGCCUGAAUUUUUCCCUCACCAUGAGAAGCUUUUGUUCAGCUUUCCUCAAUGAAGACAAAAUAAUAAUAAUUAAAAUAUCAGUAGCUAAUAUCUGUAGGGUACUUACUAGUGCCAGUGCUGCCUAAACACUAGUUUAAUCUUCACAAGUCCCCUAAAAGAGAUACAUAUGGUUAUUGACUCCAUUUAACAGAUUUGGAAACUGAGUAUAGUUUAGUCUUUGGCAGAGGGCAAAUUCAUACCGUGUAUAGGUUAAUAAGCGGCAGAGAUCAUGAUACAACUGCAGGCCCACUGGCUUUGGAGCCUCCCACCCACCUGCAAAAACUAUCGCAAAAGCAAAGACAUGAAAUAAAUUUAUUUUAGUUGAUGC